rnacentral:tRNA from 1 species
CUCGGGGUCGUCUAACGGAAGGAUGCCGGUCUACGGAACCGGCGACGAUGGUUCGAAUCCAUCCCUCGAGGCCA